CUCACCUUCUUCUUUUGUCUUUUUAGUUGACCUGACUCUUCUAACUCAUCGCCCAUCCCUUUCUGGCUUUUUCGAAUUCUUGUCGCUAAGGAUAAUAUAUGUCGGUUUUAGUGAGGACGUACAGAAAAAUGUCAACGCCGCGUUAGAACCAAAAUCAAAGAAGGUCACUGCAGACCUGAAGCCUAGCAACUAAGUUGUGCCUAAAAGGUCUCUUCAGCCAAAACCCCGCAAGCUCAGUUUUCCAUUGAGAAGAUGCCUGGAGAUUGCAGGGUGGACAGCUGUUGAUGAGGUUCCGAGGAGGACUAUAUGGCAUACUGAAGAUCCAAUCAGUAAAGAAACAUAUAUUUUUAUCCUUC
rnacentral:lncRNA from 1 species